rnacentral:rRNA from 1 species
UACGUAGGGGGCAAGCGUUGUCCGGAUUUAUUGGGCGUAAAGAGCUCGUAGGCGGUUUGGUAAGUCUGGUGUGAAAUCUCCACGCUCAACGUGGAGGGGCCACCCGAUACUGCCAUGACUGGAGUCCGGUAGAGGAGUGUGGAAUUCCCGGUGUAGCGGUGAAAUGCGCAGAUAUCGGGAAGAACACCCGUGGCGAAGGCGGCACUCUGGGACGGUACUGGACGCUGAGACGCGAAAGCGUGGGGAGCGAACAGG